rnacentral:rRNA from 1 species
AUUGAACGCUGGCGGCAGGCUUAACACAUGCAAGUCGAGCGGAGAUGAGGUGCUUGCACCUUAUCUUAGCGGCGGACGGGUGAGUAAUGCUUAGGAAUCUGCCUAUUAGUGGGGGACAACAUUCCGAAAGGAAUGCUAAUACCGCAUACGUCCUACGGGAGAAAGCAGGGGAUCUUCGGACCUUGCGCUAAUAGAUGAGCCUAAGUCGGAUUAGCUAGUUGGUGGGGUAAAGGCCUACCAAGGCGACGAUCUGUAGCGGGUCUGAGAGGAUGGUCCGCAACACGGGGACUGGGACACGGCCCAGACUCCUACGGGAGGCAGAGGUGGGGAAUAUUGGACAAUGGGGGGAACCCUGAUCCAGCCAUGCCGCGUGUGUGAAGAAGGCCUUAUGGUUGUAAAGCACUUUAAGCGAGGAGGAGGCUACUGAGACUAAUACUCUUGGAUAGUGGACGUUACUCGCAGAAUAAGCACCGGCUAACUCUGUGCCAGCAGCCGCCGUAAUAC